rnacentral:rRNA from 1 species
UACGUAGGGUGCAAGCGUUAAUCGGACUUACUGGGCGUAAAGCGUGCGCAGGCGGUCUUGCAAGACAGAUGUGAAAUCCCCGGGCUCAACCUGGGAACUGCAUUUGUGACUGCAAGGCUGGAGUACGGUAGAGGGGGAUGGAAUUCUGCGUGUAGCAGUGAAAUGCGUAGAUAUGCGGAGGAACACCGAUGGCGAAGGCAAUCCCCUGGACCUGUACUGACGCUCAUGCACGAAAGCGUGGGGAGCAAACAGG